GUACAACAUACAACCUCUGCAAAGAAAAUAUGUAAGACACGGUGAAAGCGUUUAACAUGAUUGUAAGAAUCAAUGGAUGUUUGGAGUUUUGAGAGGAAAAUACACAGAUGUGGUGUCGUGCUCUGAUGGGAAGAUAAAAGUUGAUAAUAAAUGUGACAAAAGACAUUAGACAAAAUAAACUCACGUGGACACACUGAGAUACUGGUCGUCAAAUAUUUGCAUGACUGAACAUUCUUCAAUGAACCACAGGACAGAUCACAGCGCUGGAAAAUGGAGAUAUAUCCAAUAAUCAUCUGUUUGAUUUUAGGUUUAAAUGCACUUGGAUCCUCAAACGCUGCAGAGAAAACAUGCACAGUACCUGACAUACCACAUGGGACUGUUGAGUUACUCAAAGUGUACAAGAAAGAUGACACGCUAGAAUACAAAUGUGAUAGGGGAUACAAACCCAGACAGGGAACACCAAGAUGCACAGAGAACGGCUGGAGUCUAAAGCCGGAGUGUGAAG